GGGAUAACACUUGAAAACAGGUGCUAAUACCGCAUAACCAUAGUUACCGCAUGGUAACUAUGUAAAAGGUGGCUAUGCUACCGCUUUUGGAUGGGCCCGCGGCGCAUUAGCUAGUUGGUGGGGUAAAGGCUUACCAAGGCAAUGAUGCGUAGCCGAACUGAGAGGUUGAUCGGCCACAUUGGGACUGAGACACGGCCCAAACUCCUACGGGAGGCAGCAGUAGGGAAUCUUCCACAAUGGGCGAAAGCCUGAUGGAGCAGCGCCGCGUGGGUGAAGAAGGUCUUCGGAUCGUAAAACCCUGUUGUUAGAGAAGAAAGUGCGUGAGAGUAACUGUUCACGUUUCGACGGUAUCUAACCAGAAAGCCACGGCUAACUACGUGCCAGCAGCCGCGGUAAUACGUAGGUGGCAAGCGUUAUCCGGAUUCAUUGGGCGUAAAGGGAACGCAGGCGGUCUUUUAAGUCUGAUGUGAAAGCCUUCGGCUUAACCGGAGUAGUGCAUUGGAAACUGGGAGACUUGAGUGCAGAAGAGGAGAGUGGAACUCCAUGUGUAGCGGUGAAAUGCGUAGAUAUAUGGAAGAACACCAGUGGCGAAAGCGGCUCUCUGGUCUGUAACUGACGCUGAGGUUCGAAAGCGUGGGUAGCAAACAGGAUUAGAUACCCUGGUAGUCCACGCCGUAAAC
rnacentral:rRNA from 1 species